CCUACGGGAGGCUGCAGUGGGGAAUAUUGCACAAUGGGGGCAACCCUGAUGCAGCGACGCCGCGUGAAGGAAGAAGUAUUUCGGUAUGUAAACUUCUAUCAGUACGGAAGAAAAUGACGGUACCUGACUAAGAAGCCCCGUCUAACUACGUGCCAGCAGCCGCGGUACUACGGAGGGAGCAAGCGUUAUCCGGAUUUAUUGGGUGUAAAGGGAGCGUAGGCGGUUUAGCAAGUCAGAAGUGAAAGCCCGGGGCUCAACUUCGGGACUGCUUUUGAAACUGUUGAACUAGAUUGCAGGAGAGGUAAGUGGAAUUCCUGGUGUAGCGGUGAAAUGCGUAGAGAUUAGGAGGAACACCAGUGGCGAAGGCGGCUUACUGGACUGUAAAUGACGCUGAGGCACGAAAGCGUGGGGAGCAAACAGGAUUAGAUACCCGUGUAGUC
rnacentral:rRNA from 1 species